GUCUAAGUAUAAGCAACUAUACGGUGAAACUGCGAAUGGCUCAUUAAAUCAGUUAUCGUUUAUUUGAUAGUACCUUACUACAUGGAUAACCGUGGUAAUUCUAGAGCUAAUACAUGCUAAAAACCCCGACUUCGGGAGGGGUGUAUUUAUUAGAUAAAAAACCAAUGCCCUUCGGGGCUCCUUGGUGAAUCAUAAUAACUUAACGAAUCGCAUGGCCUUGCGCCGGCGAUGGUUCAUUCAAAUUUCUGCCCUAUCAACUUUCGAUGGUAGGAUAGUGGCCUACCAUGGUAUCAACGGGUAACGGGGAAUUAGGGUUCUAUUCCGGAGAGGGAGCCUGAGAAACGGCUACCACAUCCAAGGAAGGCAGCAGGCGCGCAAAUUACCCAAUCCCGACACGGGGAGGUAGUGACAAUAAAUACUGAUACAGGGCUCUUUUGGGUCUUGUAAUUGGAAUGAGUACAAUUUAAAUCCCUUAACGAGGAACAAUUGGAGGCAG
rnacentral:rRNA from 1 species